CGGCUCGGGGAUUAAUAAUUCCCGAGAUUGACGGUACCACCAGAGGAAGCACCGGCUAACUCCGUGCCAGCAGCCGCGGUAAUACGGAGGGUGCAAGCGUUAUUCGGAAUUACUGGGCGUAAAGCGCGUGCAGGCGGGCCGGCAAGUCUGAUGUGAAAGCCCCGGGCUCAACCUGGGAAGUGCAUUGGAAACUGCUGGUCUUGAGUUCUGGAGAGGAAGGGGGAAUUCCCGGUGUAGAGGUGAAAUUCGUAGAGAUCGGGAGGAAUACCAGUGGCGAAGGCGCCCUUCUGGACGGCAACUGACGCUGAGACGCGAAAGCGUGGGGAGCA
rnacentral:rRNA from 1 species